rnacentral:rRNA from 1 species
AUGAACGCUGGCGGCGUGCCUAAUCCCUGCAAGUCGAGCGAACAGACGAGGAGCUUGCUCCUCUGACGUUAGCGGCGGACGGGUGAGUAACACGUGGAUAACCUACCUAUAAGACUGGGAUAACUUCGGGAAACCGGAGCUAAUACCGGAUAAUAUAUUGAACCGCAUGGUUCAAUAGUGAAAGACAGUUUUGCUGUCACUUAUAGAUGGAUCCGCGCCGCAUUAGCUAGUUGGUAAGGUAACGGCUUACCAAGGCGACGAUGCGUAGCCGACCUGAGAGGGUGAUCGGCCACACUGGAACUGAGACACGGUCCAGACUCCUACGGGAGGCAGCAGUAGGGAAUCUUCCGCAAUGGGCGAAAGCCUGACGGAGCAACGCCGCGUGAGUGAUGAAGGUCUUCGGAUCGUAAAACUCUGUUAUUAGGGAAGAACAAAUGUGUAAGUAACUAUGCACGUCUUGACGGUACCUAAUCAGAAAGCCACGGCUAACUACGUG